rnacentral:snRNA from 1 species
AUGCUUUAGCAGCAUGUCUGGUAAAAUGGGAACAAGGAUGAGGAUUAGCAUGGCCCUUGUGUAAGGACGACAAGCAGAUUUCCAGAGUUUU